rnacentral:lncRNA from 1 species
GGAACAUUUGCUGUUAUAGUCAUGGAAGAAUGCUGAUGAGAUUUCCAGUUAAAUUCGGAUGAGAUGGGGUCUGAUUUCUUUACUAUGGCAGGAUGGCUGUUAAGUCAACAUUUACAUUGGAACAGCGCAGUGAAGUCACCUGCCCUAAGCCUGGAGGAAUGCUCUAUGUUUACAAUUUCAAGAGUCCUGUAGGCCAGGAAGUGAAUCAUUGGGGGCCCUCAGCUUGCAGUCACACACUACCGCUUCUGCCAGUAGGCAGAAGAAGGGAGGCUGAUCCAUCAACCUGAUUCCAGGAGGAGACAGAAGGCUUGGAGAUUGUGCUUCCAUAAGUUGACUCCUAAAGUUCAAGUUCUCUCCCUGGGCUGUUGCUCCCUGGAAACGAGGGAAGGAUCCUGGGAAUGUUUCACCAAUCACCUUUCCAAAUAUUUGUUUUCUACUUGUGUACAUUUUAGCCACUUUCUUUGUUGCUGGGACAAAUACUCAAUGCUGACAACUUAAAGGGGAAGAGGUUUAUUUUGGCUCAUAGUUACAGUCUCUGGUCAUCUGGUUCCAAGGCAGCAAUGGCAGGGUGGAAGGACCAGGGUGGAGGAAAGCUGCUCAUGUGGUGGCAUUCUGGAAAUAGAGAAGCAGGGAGCCAGAAACAAGGAAGCACCCUUUCAGGUCAUGUCCCAGGACACAUCUCCAACCACGGCCCCCCUUUAACAGCAAGUCAGCUAUAGCAUCCCAUGAUCCAAUCACCUUGCAGACACAUGAUGCAUUUGAGCCCAUUUUAGAUCUAAGCCAUAACAGUAUGUGUUUUACUUGAUUAUUUAAAUUAACAAACAGUACAUUUGGCUUUUUUUGGUGUACCAUCCUACUAAUUUUAACACUUGCACGGAUUUGUGUAAUCACUAUCACAAUUAAAUUAGAAUGAUUCUAUCACUCUCUGGCUUAGUCCACUCCCCACACAUCUAACCCCUGGCAAAUAAUGAUCUGCUUUUUUGUUGCUAUAGUUACACAUAUGUUUUUGAAAAUGUCAAAUAAAUGGAAUCA